AUGCACCACGCGACACUCCGGUUGUGAGUGCACCGUCCACAUCCAGCUGACCACUGCUCGCCACGUUCUGGUAGCC
rnacentral:sRNA from 1 species